GAUGAACGCUGGCGGCGUGCCUCAUACAUGCAAGUCGAGCGAACAGAUGAGGAGCUUGCUCCUCUGACGUUAGCGGCGGACGGGUGAGUAACACGUGGAUAACCUACCUAUAAGACUGGGAUAACUUCGGGAAACCGGAGCUAAUACCGGAUAAUAUAUUGAACCGCAUGGUUCAAUAGUGAAAGACGGUUUUGCUGUCACUUAUAGAUGGAUCCGCGCCGCAUUAGCUAGUUGGUAAGGUAACGGCUUACCAAGGCAACGAUGCGUAGCCGACCUGAGAGGGUGAUCGGCCACACUGGAACUGAGACACGGUCCAGACUCCUACGGGAGGCAGCAGUAGGGAAUCUUCCGCAAUGGGCGAAAGCCUGACGGAGCAACGCCGCGUGAGUGAUGAAGGUCUUCGGAUCGUAAAACUCUGUUAUUAGGGAAGAACAAAUGUGUAAGUAACUAUGCACGUCUUGACGGUACCUAAUCAGAAAGCCACGGCUAACUACGUG
rnacentral:rRNA from 1 species